AAGUGUAACAGCUCUCUUAGAGUUUGUUUAGCAGGUUUUGGAAAACCUAC
rnacentral:snRNA from 1 species